rnacentral:rRNA from 1 species
UACGGAGGGGGCAAGCGUUGUUCGGAAUUACUGGGCGUAAAGGGCGCGCAGGCGGCUGCUCAAGUCAGGCGUGAAAGGCCUGGGCUCAACCCGGGAAUUGCGCUUGAGACUGGGCUGGCUUGAGUGCGGGAGAGGAUGGUGGAAUUCCCAGUGUAGCGGUGAAAUGCGUAGAGAUGUGGAGGAACACCAGUGGCGAAGGCGACUCUUUGGUCUGUAACUGACGCUGAGGCGACGGAAAGCAUGGGGAGCGAACAGG